AGUGAACGCUGGCGGCAGGCCUAAUACAUGCAAGUCGAACGGCAGCACAGCAGAGCUUGCUCUGUGGGUGGCGAGUGGCGGACGGGUGAGGAAUACAUGGGAAUCUGCCCAGUCGUGGGGGAUAACGUAUGGAAACGUACGCUAAUACCGCAUGCGCCCUUCGGGGAAAGCCGGGGACCUUCGGGCCUGGCGCGAUUGGAUGAGCCCAUGUCGGAUUAGCUAGUUGGCGGGGUAAAGGCCCACCAAGGCGACGAUCCGUAGCUGGUCUGAGAGGAUGAUCAGCCACACUGGGACUGAGACACGGCCCAGACUCCUACGGGAGGCAGCAGUAGGGAAUAUUGGACAAUGGGCGCAAGCCUGAUCCAGCCAUGCCGCGUGAGUGAAGAAGGCCCUCGGGUUGUAAAGCUCUUUUGUCCGGAAAGAAAAGCAUUCGGUUAAUACCCGAGUGUUCUGACGGUACCGGAAGAAUAAGCACCGGCUAACUUCGUGCC
rnacentral:rRNA from 1 species